GACGAACGCUGGCGGCGUGCUUAACACAUGCAAGUCGAACGGAAAGGCCCUGCUUUUGUGGGGUGCUCGAGUGGCGAACGGGUGAGUAACACGUGAGUAACCUGCCCUUGACUUUGGGAUAACUUCAGGAAACUGGGGCUAAUACCGGAUAGGAGCUCCUGCUGCAUGGUGGUGGUUGGAAAGUUUCGGCGGUUGGGGAUGGACUCGCGGCUUAUCAGCUUGUUGGUGGGGUAGUGGCUUACCAAGGCUUUGACGGGUAGCCGGCCUGAGAGGGUGACCGGCCACAUUAGGACUGAGAUACGGCCCAGACUCCUACGGGAGGCAGCAGUGGGGAAUAUUGCACAAUGGGCGGAAGCCUGAUGCAGCAACGCCGCGUGCGGGAUGACGGCCUUCGGGUUGUAAACCGCUUUCGACUGUGACGAAGCGUGAGUGACGGUAAUGGGUAAAGAAGCACCGGCUAACUACGUG
rnacentral:rRNA from 1 species